ensembl:lncRNA
GCCCCGAAUCUAGCUCAGCAUCCUGUUUUUGGCACUGGCACUGCCAGCACUGGAUCUGACUCAGUCUGCACUGCUCUUUGGCAGUUUGUGAGCUUGCUCUUUCAGCUCCCUUAAACAGACAAAGGGGAGGAGAGAAACCGUCACAGUCACAUAGAGGAAGGCCAUCUGUUGUAUUUUUCACAUCGUACUCUGCUGAUUCUAUCAUAACUUCCUUCUAUCACCAAACACCAGACUAUUUUAAAACUCAUCUACUUUCAUUUUAAAUAAACAGUUAUCCCCAUGCAUAGCCCAAAAUGACAUGGUAAAAAUGAAUACGCUACACUUCUUUCCAAAAUGUUCUCUUUUUGCUGUCACAGAACCAAAGUACAAGCAUAGAAAGGCAUGGAAAUGAAAUGUACCCUUUUGGAGAAUAUACGAAUCCCCCAGCCAGGCUGGCCAGUUUUCCAAACUCUGCUCCUAAGAAGAAAGCUCCACUGGGCUUUGCCUCACCUCGACUAUCAUAUAAUAGCCAUUUCAUGAAGAUGAAAUAUAUAACUUCUGAAACUUCCACAUGAGUCUUCUUUUCCCUCCCCCCUUUUUUCUUUUGUACAGCUUUUUAAAAAUAUUAAAUGGGUUUGGGUUAGGAUUAGGGUAUAAACCUGUGGUAUUCCUGCAGUAGAUACACAUGGUGGUUUAAUCAAACUAAAAUCACUCCAGACCACAUCUGGGCAUUAAGAGCAACACUGGGUUGAGAGUGCUCUGAAAGGACUAAUGUGAUGCCUGAAGAGAAAUAUCACCCCAAAGGCAAAUGUUUUCACCGACCUUGUCAACUGAGCACCUCACCACCACUAUAUCUUCCCAGUCUUUGAUUUAUUCACUUGUCAGUCCACCAUUGAUUUCAAGCAGUUGUUAAUGGAAGUCACAAUCCCAGCUAGAUCUGAUGAAAGUGAGAAACAGAAUUGUUUGUAGAUAUGUAAACAACAAGCAAACAAAGACUCAUAGUCUUUAAGACUAACAGAUUUUUUAAACAUACAGUUUACUUCUUUAUCCAUAUGGAAUACAGUAUUAGGCCACAUGUUUAAACACACAAUAUUAUGGUUGCGAGGCUAAGGAUGAGGAUAAAUGAGAUAUGGACAAUGACAACUGCAACAAGAAAGGUUGAAAAUUAUAUGAAUAACAAAAUUCUAAUAGCUAAAGAAACAGCUUAAUUGUUAAUAAUUUACAUGUCAACUGCCUUUUAUGCAUAAAUUCAGGGCAAGGGCAAAUUUGCAUGUUUCAUAUAAGUAGCAGUUGGCACAUAAAUUAUUGACAGGUAAACUAAAUGGUAUCUUACAUUCAAUCUGGUUACACUUAGUGAGAAAUUGUGAGUUAGCAGCAAAUGGGGCCAGCGUCUGUCCCUCUUGCUAAAACUCAGCUUCCAGGUGCAACAAAAGGUAAUGGGGGUCUCCACGCUAAACCAAACGCACAUUGUGGGCCCCUAUUUAGAUGCGAAGAUUGUGAUCUCUGGAAUGAUUACUUACAGACGAGAUGAGUGACAUGAGUCACUGGUUAUAAUGAAGAGCACAAGAGCACUGA